GUCAGGAUGGCUGAGCGGUCUAAGGCUAUGCAUUAAGGCUUCUUUCGAAGUGGGUUCGAAUCCCACUUCUGACA